GUGCUCAAUUCGGCAGCACAUAUACUAAAAUUGGAAUGAUAAAGAAAAGAUCAGCAUGGCCCCUGUGCAAGGAUGACAUGCAAAUUUGUGAAGUGUUACAUAUUUUU